AAAAAAAAACAAAAAAAAACAACACCAAAUAUUUGGCCUCACACCUGGACACGACACAUUUCUGUUGACCAUUUUGGAGUUUAUGUGCGGGGAACAGAGCGAAUUUUUAAAAUGGUUCGAGUUAUUCUUCUAUUUUGGCAUUUGCUCCAUUUUUGCUGUAUUUUUAACCAUGGAGAAGCAGGAUGUACAAGUACGGCAACACCAUUUAGACAAACGACACAAACAAGGACAGAGACAUUUAACAUCAUCUUGUGGAUCUCGGGAAAGAGAGUUCAUCAGCUGACUGUAGUACUCAAGUGAAUUUACUGUCCACUUCUGUAUGGCACAGAUGUGAAUCGACACUGAAGGUGAACCCAGGCAAAGACAGACUAGACAGACUGUGUUGGCGUUUCAAAGAUGCAGUAAGGGUACAGGAUCUAUCUAUGUGUGGGACUAAAACAUAACCAUCAAGUUAUGUCAUGAAGCUUUCCAUAAAUAACAGGGUCGGACUCUCAAGCUGUAUUCACACAUGUAUUCACAAAACCCCUGAAAACUUCCCAACAUUUUCAGGAUGGGCUGAAGUUUUUCCUCUUCACUUUACGACAACCUCCUGCUAAAAUUUUCUUGCAAAAGUCGGGCUGCGAUGAUGUGAAAAGGCAACUACUGCAAGUGAGUGGGCAGAAGGGAUGAUGUUUAUAUCAUGCAACCAGAGCAGGAAGAGCAAAAUGUUGUAGGAUGAAUAAAACAAGAAUAGAGCAGGUGCAUGCACAUGCAACAUUGGUAUAAAUGUACAAACUGUCAGCUAAGUAUAGGUCCUUCUUCCUUUUCAGCUAUUAUGGUGUUAACAUUACACUGCUGCUUUUUUCAGUGUUCUUUUUAUGUCGUGUCCUGGAGUGAUCCUAAACCUGAAGUGAACCCUUAAGGUACUUUCAUAGCAGGACAUCCUGCAGCAUUGUGUAUUCCCUCCUGGCGUAGGGUAACAGCAACCCCGAGUUUCAAGGAUAUGCUACUCAGGUUACACAAAAGGCAUCAGCUGGAAUAUUUAAACACACACAGCCUCGACUAAAUAUAUUUAAGCCAAAAUGCAAAAAUGUUCAGGGUAUUUUAUUUUAUUUUUUACACUUUCAACUCAGAUUGGAGAUGAUCAUUUUAAAGGUAACAAUAACAGUUUGAGCAGUUUGAGCCAAACAUGUCCAGGCCCAGCUAGAAAUACGUAACAAAGAUCAUGUGACUGCUCUCUGCUCAGGUCAGAUGAUAACAUCCAACUACUUUUUUGUUACUCAUUGUUAGAAAGCAGACAUGCAGUCUCCUAACCUCCUCAACAAUAGGCAGACAGAAUCGUGACUAAAGCUUCAAAUGUUUACACCACUUUUCAGACUGCUACACCUCACAUAAUGGAGUCAUCAGGUUAGAGGUCUGGUCAAAUAUAAGGAUUAUCAAAGGAACAUGAUGUUGAAAGGUAAACUUCGACUACGCGCUCGCCCGGCAGGCAGACAGAGCUGGGAGGCAGCGCAAACAGAAUGGAUGUAUUUGCUUUUCAUGUGAAAAUCAAUGGGCCCAGACAGAUGGCGGUUUGUUUCCUCACUAUUUACUCCCCGGCUCCUUGACAAAUGUCCUCGCCACCCCUCCUGAGCUGACGCUGCACAGGUAAGCCAAGAGCCAUCCUUUCCUCUCCCACCCCAAAUGGAUGACAGAUGUGCAAGCUACCGCCUUGUUCCUUUCUCUCUCUUCGAAAGCCACCUCCAUUCCUUCAUCCACAGCAAACAACACUUGUUUAAGGAGAAAAGGUUAACUUGUUUAAGAAGGUACACCUUUCUACCUUCAUCUUUAUCAGAAACAGUCACCACCUUUACAAAGACAAAAUGUUCCACCGUUAACAAAUACAAGACCUUCAUCCUUACUGUACGUUGAGUCAUGGACGACAUGCGCUGUCUGUGGUCCGUUUCAUUUAAAGACAGACGGUUACAAAUACAUGAUGAGUACUUCAUGUCCGCCAUGCCUACAUGUCUGAACUCAGAGAAGGGUUAAUUUGACCUACUUUACAGGAUGUAUACUAAAGAGAGGAGACAGAUGAAAGACGCAUCAUCACUCUGUCCACAGGAUGAGUCUUGAAUGACUCAGACGUAUUAGAACAAUUUGAUUAUGUAUUCAUGCAAGAGCCAUAACAUCUCUUCAUUCCCGGCAUAAAAAAAAAAAAAAAAAAAAAAUCAUAUUUUCUAAUAUCAGCACGCCCACUCUGAAGCCAUUUUCCCCGGACACAUAUUUACACAAAUUGCCUUUACUGGAAUCUGUUUGAGCUGGGAUUGUGUGAGAGUAUUUUUCCUGCUCUCAGUCAGAACAAACUCCAGCUCUGGAGGCAGGAGUGAUCCUCGCUGGAAUCAGACUGAGGUCCGCACUGCUGAAUCUGUGGGUUUUAAUAGAGCCUCAUGUGGAAACAGACUUUCCUUCUGCUGCUAUGGGAGAUAUUUUUAGUCAGAUAGACAGUGGCACUUCUGCUCAAAUAGACCAAGACAACUCAGAAGGUAAAUGAUCUGAUUUGAAGUUUUUUUUUUGUUUGUUUGUUUUUUCUGAGACUUGGAGCAGUCUCCAUUUUUAUUUUAUAAGAGAAGGAGGGGUGAGAAAUAUGGAGGGGGUGGGCGCCUGCAAAAAAAAAGUCAGCAUUCCAGCAAGUGGAGCAGAGGUCGUGCGGGAAGAGUGCCUGGGUGGAGGUGUGGGUGUUGCGGUGGCGGUAGUGCAGGGGCGUAGCAGAGUUAAAGAGCAAAGAGCAGUUCCUGAUUCCACAACCCUGAGCUCACCGCCUUUAAGUGCCGGAGCCGCCAGCCACUCCUUUUCUCCUUCACACCAUCCUCUUCCCUCUCCUCCCACUCCCCUCCCCCUCCACCUACAUCGUGUCUCUCCAUCUGAGGUGUUAACUCUUUGUUGGGCUGUUCCAGAGCGGUUGGCACGGGACGACGGUUUUCAUGGAAGCUUUGGGAAGAGGCGGGCAUGCUGCUAUGGGUCCUUACUGGAAGUGAAGGCGUGAGUGCGGGUAGAGGACUGAGUGAUUCACUGAACAAAUGUUUUCUUCAUCACUUUGACAAUCAACCGCUAUGACCUGGCACUGACACACAUGUCAGCGCACAGACAUGCACAGAUGCAAAGCAGGAUCAAUCAGCGAGAAAAGGCAUACCAGUGUAGACUAAGGAGGAGCUCUGGAUUGGUCAUGCCUGUGUGUAACCCAUAAACACUAGGUUUAGUCAAGCCGCGCUAAAUCAUGAAUGUCUUCUGUAUGAGCUUUAAAAACAAUACCAGAUUAGUGAUAAAGCCAUCUGUUACUGUGUCAUCCUAUUUUGUUACCAAGGCCUGUCCACAAUAGAGCAUUAUUCCAGUAAAUAAUACCACUUAUUAAGCUGGAUUGGCAGGUGAAUACAAGAAUAGAGCUCAGACAACACAAACACGUCAUCGAGGAGGAAUAACAUCCUAAUAUGGACGGGUUAAGACGAGGAGGAUAGGGUGGGAACGUCUUACACAAGGCAUUACCUGGAAAGAGCAGGGUAGCCCAGAAGGUACCUGCUAUCACGCUGUAUUUACACGACACAGAAGUGAGAGCGCCUUUGUGUGUGUGUGUGUGUGUGGCAUUACACAAUACACACCGCAGACAGUGACAUUUGAAUGUGCUGAGUGUCCUUUUGGUAGGGAACACACAGGUGACGUGUACGCAGUGGAAAAAGAUGACCUUAUGAUAGAUCACCUGGUUCUCUCUUUCUCUCUUAACUUCUCUGUCUCUCUCUCUCCAGCCCUGUCACUGUCCUUUGUCUCGUCUCUAACCCUCCAUCUCCCGCCUACGCUGCCUUGUUCUCUCUCUCUCUCUUACUGUUAAAUAAAAUAAACAUAGCGCUCACAUGACUCCAUAUUGUCCUCUGGCUGCUGGGGAGCUAUAAAAAGAUCCACUUGGCUGCAUUUAUUUUUCAAUGAAUCUGGGCCGCGCCUCCUCCUCCCCUGCUGACGCUCCGCAGGAUCAGGUGGUAUAUGAUUAAGGGCGCUAUUACAGUUAGGCAGCUCUUGACUUUCCUCCAUAACCUCUGCUGGCAUAAUGUACUCUAAUGUGUUUGAGUUCCAUUUGAACUUCCAACUAUCCUGCCAUCCUGAGCACGUCAAUGACAAAUGUCCACCUUUAGAGAGCUUGUGCAAGUGUAAUUAGCAGAGGAAAGUCAAGGGGGUCCCAGAAUGUAAAGAUAUAAACUAUGGCGCCUCUAUGUUGUGAGGUAGUUAUAGUGAUGCAUUUCUUUCUGUUUCUGAACUUUCCCUGUAUUCUUUGACUCGAUUAUUCUUACUUUAAUUUGUUUUCUCGGGAGAGAGAGAAAGAAGAUGGUUAAUGAACUUGUUUCUUCAUGCAUCUGUGUGAGCUUCUGUGCUGCCGGGUUGUUGCGCCCCUGCGGUCCACACACAGAAUCAAGGAUGUCAAUGUAAACACAGUCAGUCAGCGCAAAGGAAUGUGUGAGGCAUGCAAAAAGCACUGGGGACAAAGUCCAGAGGAAGAAAGGAAAGGGGGGAAAAGGGAAAGGAAAGAGGGGGAGGAAAACAAAACAGAGAAGAGAGUGCGUUAAGAGAAAAUUAGGUGAAGAAGAGGAGAAGAAGGAAACACAAGAUGGUGUGAGAAGUUGAGAAAAAGAGUGGGAGAGGAAACAGAUUUUGAGGAGAACAGAGGAGGAUGUGAAAACUGCGAGAGGAGAUGAAGAAAGAGGAGAGGAUAAUAAAAAAAGAUGGAUGAGACUAAAGCGGCAUUCAGGACGCACAAACCUCAUGUAAACUUCCAAAAAAUGUCAGGUUGGGUCAAGUGAGGUGGUGACUGACUGAAGCAGGAAAUAUUCAGGACAUCACCAUGAGCCAGUGGGUGAGGGGGAAGAUGUUUGUAUCAUGCAACCAGUGUAAACACGGUAAAGGACACAUGAUGGGAUGAACAAAACGUCUGAGGUCGAAGGUGGAAGAAAGAGAAUUCUCUCAAAGACGUGAACAGCAAAGAUUGGCUGCAAGUUUGUCAACAUGUACCAUGAAAUAGAUGCGUAAGGGUCAUUAUAGGGGAGACCAGGCCUUGUUGUCACAUGGGUAAGUUAUCACUCUGCAAUUAUCUUCCCCACAAGAAGGCGCAACCAAAAAGUGGAAUACUAGUUUAACUAGUUUUGUCCUGUCUAAGAACGAUUAACCAUUUUACACAACCCAAAGUAAAAAAUUUUAACUUUAUAUAUUUAUAAAAAAGCUUCAGUGAUACGUGUGGACUUGUUAGAGGAGAGAUCGAGGCAUCCUGUCAUACUUCAGUCAUUGUUCUGUUUUAAGCUAACUUUAAGCUAGAGUGCUAAUUAGCAAACAUGGUAGUUUUGGCGUUAGUUGUCAUAUGUUUAAAAGGGAUUAAAAUUAACAUAGAGGGCUCUAUUUUCAUGUACACCGGUGAGGUGGCGGACCCCGCGCAGUUGCAUUUUCAUCUGGCGGAGCCCGGCGUACAGCCAGUUUGGUAUUUUCGUGGACUGAGGCGCACAGAGGCUAACCGAGAUCCGCCGGUCUUUCAUCUGGAACACAUUUUGUUUACUUAUGAUGUAUUGAUUCCAAGUAAUAUAUAAGAGUGUAAAAAGUGUGACAACAAGCCCUGGUCUCCCCUACUGUAAGUCUUAGCCAUGUCAUAAACAUUGAACUGUAACUCCCACAGUGUGCAUUUGGUGUCAUUUCCUGCCUCCAGAGACUCAUCCAGGAGUGCGUAGUAGGAGUGAAAGAGGUCAAAGGAAGAAGGGAUGUGGACCAAAGUAAGGAGUGGGAGGGAGUGGGAGGAAGAAGAAGGAGGAAAAGGGGACCUCAUCCUGCGGGCAGAGAGAUGAAGAGAUGGAGGAGGAGUAAGUGGGGGAGGAAGAGGAAUGGUGAGACAGAUUGAAAAAAAAAAGAAGGUGAGUGUACAGGGGAGGGUCAGUGAAGGGCAGGCGGGUGUAGAUCAUCCAUUCAGAGUCGGUUGGCGUGAGGAAGGAAAAGCCAUAAGCAACUUCAAAGGCCUUGGGGGGGCCUUGACAGAGAGUGGGGUUAGAGUUCUGUAAUCCAAAGAGAGGUUAGAGGCCUGAAACUCCGGUUGCUGGAGCUGCUGAAACUAAUUUAACCAGAGGGCCCCCAGAGGCCCCCACAGAGGGGCCAGGUCGUAACCGGAGGAGCUGUUGGUGACAAAGUGCAGCGGGCAAAAGGCAGCAAAGGGGCUUCAACACACAGGGCAAAUGGCCUUAUAGCACACACACACACACACACACACACACACACACACACACACACACACACAGAUCCAGUCCUACACAAUUGCUUGCAUGCUUUAACUGAACAUGUAGGAUCAUACAUAUUAAUAUAAACAGAUGUUUGCCUUUCUAAGGGAGAUAUGCUGAGGUCUACAGUUUAUAAUGCAGAGCAGUAAUAAUGUUUUCAAUAAUAUCUCCAUCAGACCUACAAGACCUUUAAGUUUAACAUAUGUGUCUCAGAGAAAAGACUUGUCCACUCCACACAGGCUCCUGUGGAGAACUGAAAUGAUAAAAACAGAUGCCUCUCGUUCCUAACUAAGUCUAAUUGACGUGUGGGCGAGAAGGGAGGGGCAUGCAGAUCAUCCUAUAACACACUACUCACAUUCAAGAGAAAAGUUGAGGUUUUAUGUUCAAGUAAUUAUGUUUUACAGUCACCCAAAGUGAAAUCCUGCUUUGCUGACACAUAUGGAAUUACUGUACAGGCUCUCAAGCAGCCAAAAUGACAGAAAACCGUUAAAUCUGAGUAGGCUCUGUGAAAGGAGACACUCUUGUGAUGAAGCUCCGGCGCCCGAUCUCAGCCUUUGAAUGGACUGAAUGUCAACGGCAGGGUCCAAGUGUAGACGCACUGAAUAUGAACAUCAGCAGCCUCAGCCUACAUAUUAUAUGCACAAAAAGGAUUUGACAUCUGGCAAGGAGUGUAUGAGGAGUGAAAUGUGUGUGGGUGUGGGGAAUGAAUACAUACAUAUAUUCCUUUUAUGUGUUUAAUGAUGUACGUGCUCCGUACUUGCACACCUUGUGUGUGUAUGUGUAUGCGUGUUUUUGAGUGUGCGUGCGUGACGGAAAGCCGUGUCUAAUGAGUCAUCCUGUGUUAAUCAUGAAGAAAGGCUUGGAUCUCAUUCACAUGCUUGCUUGACUGCCCAUAUGGGGCUGACCAUACACUCUGUAUGUAAACAGGCUAGAUGUCGGGUACUCUGUGCUGUGAUAUGAUACUGAGACAGAAGGGGAGGUAAUGAGUUGACUCAUAUCCAUAGUCAUGCAGGAAAAAUGCACUUUAUGUUGUCCUAAAGAAGUAAAAAGGGUCUUUGAAUGAGGUAGGCAGCAGAGAGCCUGUGGGUGUCUGGAAUUUUGUACAAUAAGAACACAGGAAGUACAAUUAAAGCUGCAGGUAAGAAAGCGCUCGGAGCGAUGUGAGAUUGUAGGUGUGCCGGCAUGAGAGAAGGAGAAAGUGUUGGUAAGAGUUUCUGUGUGAAUAUGUGUGAAAUCAUGUGUGUGGCUGCGUGGGUUGCUGGCCCCUCUGCUCUGUGUGGGUGGGUGUUGGUUUGAUUAUAGGGUCUCCGAGCCAGGAACUUUAAGCACUUCUGUCUGUCACAAUCAUGAACCAAAGCACAACAGAUGUGAGAAAACUAUAUGAAAAGUUCAGAUAUGGAUGUGUGUACUGUGCGGAUGUGAGGCUUAUUUCAGUUUUAAGUUUCAACUGGCCUCUUGAAAUUGUUCAAACUCAUCCUCACAGCAUAAUUUCUCGAACUUAGGCUACUACUUAAUUAAACCAAGGCUUCAUAAAAACUGUAUUCUGUGGAGUUACAGUUAAAAACAAAGAGCAUAAUUACCUGAGCUCAUGUUUUUGAGUGAUUGUAACAGUUAAUUGAUUGCAGUGUAUGGGAUUGACAGGCAUAAUCAAUCAAUCAAUCAAAUGUUUGUUUUAAGGCACUUUUCAUACAUAGAAUGUAGCACAAAGUGCUGUCCAAUCAAGCGGGAUAUUGAAAACAAUGAAAUAAAAUAAAUAAAAGAUACAAAUACAUAACCUCACCCACCCUCCCAACCCCCAUUCAACACAUACAGCACUCACACUCUCACACACACACAGAUGCACACUCAAAAGACCAGGUGAGGACUCUUCAACCUGCCACUGAUGACUGAGGAAACGCUAACUUGAGUAAAAAUAAUGAAGAAACACUGGAUCUAGGACUAAAGCGAUAAAACCAUGAUAAAUAUAAUAAAGGUGAUAAAGCGUUAAAAGUUAAAUUAAAUGGAACAGUCUUAAAAUCAAACAAUAACAGAAAGUAAAUUAAAAAAGAGGUAAUAAAACACAUAAUAGUUACUCUAGGACUAAAAUAGCAUAAAAUCACAUGAUGCAGAUUAAAAGAUUAAAACAAACUUAAAUUAAAAGCCAGAUUAAAAAGGUAGGUCUUGAGUUUAAUUUGAAAAAUAGAUUUAAAGGAACCUUAGAAAUUUUCCAUCAUGUUACUAAAGAAACUCAGACAUGCUCCUGCUAUAGGAUCUUUGUAAUCCUCACUCUCCAACUUCUUCAUUCCUAUUUAACUCACACAUAUUUACCUGUAAAUAUGCUGCUUUAAUUAGAGUUUUGUGUAAAGAAGCACACUGAACAGCAUGCUAAUAUACUCCAAACCGCAUGCCACUCAGUCAGAUGCUACUCCUAUCUCCUUCAACCAGGAGCACAUCAUCUGUCUUUGACUGCAUGGCUUUUACACACAUUUGAUUUACUGCUAUCCCUUUGUUUCCCCA